rnacentral:rRNA from 1 species
AUUGAACGCUGGCGGCAUGCCUUACACAUGCAAGUCGAACGGCAGCACGGGUGCUUGCACCUGGUGGCGAGUGGCGAACGGGUGAGUAAUACAUCGGAACAUGUCCUGUAGUGGGGGAUAGCCCGGCGAAAGCCGGAUUAAUACCGCAUCCGAUCUACGGAUGACAUCGGGGGACCUUCGGGCCUCGCGCUUUAGGGUUGGCCGAUAGCUGAUUAGCUAGUUGGGAGGGUAAAGGCCUACCAAGGCGACGAUCAGUAGCUGGUCUGAGAGGACGACCAGCCACACUGGGACUGGGACACGGCCCAGACUCCUACGGGAGGCAGCAGUGGGGAAUUUUGGACAAUGGGCGAAAGCCUGAUCCAGCAAUGCCGCGUGUGUGAAGAAGGCCUUCGGGUUGUAAAGCACUUUUGUCCGGAAAGAAAUCCUUGGCCCUAAUACGGUCGGGGGAUGACGGUACCGGAAGAAUAAGCACCGGCUAACUACGUG